rnacentral:rRNA from 1 species
CAGUCGCCGCGGUAAUACAGAGGGUGCGAGCGUUAAUCGGAUUUACUGGGCGUAAAGCGUGCGUAGGCGGCUUUUUAAGUCGGAUGUGAAAUCCCUGAGCUUAACUUAGGAAUUGCAUUCGAUACUGGGAAGCUAGAGUAUGGGAGAGGAUGGUAGAAUUCCAGGUGUAGCGGUGAAAUGCGUAGAAAUCUGGAGGAAUACCGAUGGCGAAGGCAGCCAUCUGGCCUAAUACUGACGCUGAGGUACGAAAGCAUGGGGAGCAAACAGGAUUAGAUACCCGCGUAGUCCCUGUCUCUUAUAC